GAGAAACAAAAAGAGACCUGUGUCUGUAGUUGAUACGCCUGGAUUCUUCAACACUUCCGUUAAAAGCUGAUGGAUUAUUGACAGUUGUUCACUUCUGGUCUACAAGCUUUUCUCGUGAAAGGAGACCGAAGAGAAAACCAUAGCAGAGGCAGAAAGGAGCAGAGCUCUGCAUCAUUUAUCUUUCAGUGGAGCUGAUGCUGCAGUUGACACACUGGAGACAGAGAGAUGAAGAAUAAAGAAAACAAACCUAAGACCAGGAGAGAGAGAGACAGACUGAAGAAAGAUGAACGGAGCAGUAAGAGAGCUGCUGAAGAACUCCAGAGCAAUGCAGAAUAAGACAGUGUCAUGCAGCAGAACAGCUGGAAAUGAACAGCUACAUCCAGCGGAUGAGACACAAGAGCUCUGAAGCAGUCCGGUAUCAACAUGCAGACUCAGAGUAUUAUAUAACAUGUGUUCCUGACAGUCCUUCACUGUAAUCUGUAUCCGCACCGAGCAGACUCUGCACGUCUUUACCCGUCACUAUCAGAGCUAUUCAACACAUUUAAACAGAGGUUUCAGUGUUUCUGGGUGCAUGAUGCAGGACAGGUAAAUCUCAAGUGUGCAGAAGGUGAGAGGAAACAGAUGCACAUCUCAAGCUAAAAUCAGAUGCAGGGUUUCCACGAUGACAGUCUGCUUGGCUCCAUUGAUGUUUUUAUGGAGACAAGUACCUUGUCCGACGUGAGCGUACAGGCCGACACAGGCCACAUGAAGGGUCACACGUAGGGGCUGCAGAGGACGGGCCGGCCGCGGUCGGAGUAACGUUACCAUACAAGCAGCAUUAGGACUCACACUAGAUGACGCACGUCGUGUUCAAGAUCUGCAAUCUACACGAAUUGCAGAUGAGCAGGCCAGAAUUCGACGACUGAGUUUACAGCAGUGCCGUCAGAUUCUGGAGAUUUGUCUUGCCUGGGACCCCAGUCAGAUGUUUGACAUCAUGCAUCUCACAGCUUCAGAUGCUCCUCCAGCUGGCCCUUCUCUCUCUGGUCAGCCUAGUUGGUGUGUCUGCGCUAACUGCAGAGAGAUGCCAUCUGACUUAGAACGCAAGUGUUGUGGGCAACAACAGCAGCAGCACUGCAUCUCCAGACUCCCCCAUAUGGGGGCCUAUAUUUUACAAGAGGGGGUACUGCGCUUAGCCAGACGUAUCUGGACUGAUAUCCGAGCUGUUCCUGAUGCUGUGGAGAGCAAUAGGCAGUUCCGUUAUGCUGCUUACCGUCAAUUUGUUGUGUGGCAAUAUGGGGCACUGGGACAGGGGCACAGGGUGGUCAUUCCCAGCUGCUGCGUGUGGACAAUACGUGAUCGUUUCCCUGACCCCCAUGGACAGUAUCAGGGUUGUGUUCCACAAAGAUAAUGUAGAUGGUGUGUUCAAAAAAACUAAAUAAUUUGUAACAAUACGUAAUGUAGACACUUGAUAGAAAUAUUUGUACAAAUUCUCUUUAUUUAUUUUUUACCAAGUGCUCUUCGCAAACAAAUUUGUUACUUGU